UUGGGCGUAAGGGCGGGUAGGCGGACAUAUUAGUCAGAUGUCAAAUCCUCCGACUCAAUCGGAGAACUGCAUUUGAAACGGUAUGUCUAGAGGAUGUGAGAGAUCAAUGGAACUCAUGGUGUAGCAGUGAAAUGCGUUGAUAUCAUGAGGAACACCAAAGGCGAAGGCAUUUGAUUGGCACACUCCUGACGCUGAGCCGCGAAAGCGUGGGUAGCGAAUGGGAUUAGAUACCCCAGUAGUCCACGCCCUAAACGAUGUAUAUUAGGCAUUGAGAGUAUCGACCCUUUCAGUGUCGUAGCUAACGCGUUAAAUAUACCGCCUGGGAAGUACGGUCGCAAGACUAAAACUCAAAGGAAUAGACGGGGAUCCGCACAAGUGGAGGAUCAUGUGGUUUAAUUCGACGGUAAGCGAGGAACCUCACCAGGGCUUGAAACUGAGCUGCAAGCUCCAGAAAUGGAGCCGCCUUCGAGGGUGCUCAGCAGGUGCUGCAUGGUUGUCGUCAGCUCGUGCCGUAAGGUGUUCCGUUAAGUCGGGAAACGAGCGCAACCCCUGUCGUGUGUUAUAUAUGUCACACGAGACUGCCCAGACUAGAGUUCAUGAAGAAAUUCGUGGAUUGCAGUCUGGGAGGA
rnacentral:rRNA from 1 species